AACAUCGCGCACCUGCGGGAACCUGCGGAAGGAUCAUUACAGAGAUUGAUGCACCAAGUGCAUCACCUCCAACCCCUUGCGAAAACAACUAUCAUGUGUUGCUUUGGCAGUGUUUCCACUGCCAGAGGUUUACAUAAAAUCAGCUGUUGGAUGUUGUCUGAGUAAACUAUAUGAAUUAUUUAAAACUUUCAACAAUGGAUCU
rnacentral:misc_RNA from 1 species